rnacentral:misc_RNA from 1 species
GGGAGAUUCGAGUUUUCCCUAUCGAAGCUCGGGAAGAUGCAGAUGCCCCAGUUUCUGAAGUAGGCCUCCUUGCAAUUUCUGAGGGUUGCAGGAAACUCAAGUCCAUCUUAUAUUUCUGCCAAAAAAUGACAAAUGCAGCUGUUAUAGCUAUGUCAAAGAACUGCCCGGACCUUGUGGUAUUCCGGCUAUGCAUUAUGGGUCGGCACUUGCCUGACCAUGUUACAAAUGAACCGAUGGAUGAAGGCUUUGGGGCUAUUGUCAAGAACUGUAAGAAGCUUACUAGACUUGCUGUAUCUGGUUUACUGACUGAUAGGGCUUUCAGUUACAUUGGACAAUAUGGAAAACUAGUCCGAACCUUAUCAGUUGCUUUUGCCGGAAACAGUGACUUGGCUCUGAAGUAUGUGCUCGAGGGCUGCCCUAAGUUGCAGAAGUUAGAGAUCAGGGAUUGCCCGUUUGGAGAUUUGUCUUUGCGUUCUGGUUUACACCACUAUUACAACAUGAGGUUCCUUUGGCUAUCAUCUUGUAGAGUAACUCUACAAGGUUGUCAGGAGAUUGCUCGCCAAUUGCCCCGUCUAGUUGUGGAAGUCAUUAGUGGUGAUGAUGAGGAAGGGAGUGAGACUAAUGAGCAUGUCAAUACCUUGUACAUGUACCGAUCUCUUGAUGGACCGAGGGCUGAUGUACCCUCAUUUGUCCAAAUACUGUGACCGACCUUUAUAGAAGAUAGGAACUUUCUGCAGUCAAUUGAUUGGUACCUUUGAGAAAUGAUUUAACUAUUUUCUUGGGAAGAGAUGCUCUCGGGAAAUCUGUUGCAAAUUUCCUUGUAGAGAAAACGAAUGGUGAUCCUCUU